UCACCUUUGUCUUCAUCUUUAUAACCUUACCCUCUCAUAUCAUCGUAUUCUGCUCCCCAUCCCAUUUUCUUAUCGACGAUGGUUCCUUAAACCUCUAUAUCGACUCUUCCUCCGAUGACUCAUUCCUUCUAUCAACUCCUCCCCAUCAGUGACAACAGUUCUAUAUCAAUGCAUCCUCUCCAAUGACGCCUCCACCUCUUCCUCCCUAAAUCCCCAAUUCCAGAUUAUUGUGGUGUUAGCUGAAGAGUGAUGUCCACUUUUGAUUUAUCAGUUUUGUUGUGCCGAUAUCAUCAAAUAAAAUAGAAUUCGAUUUCAUGGAAGUUAUUCUCAAAGAAUGUUACGAUCAAGGGCACAAAGGUAGUAGAGAUAAUUGGUUCCUAAAGUGGAACACGGUAACCAAGUGCCUGAAGGUUAGAUGAUGAUGAGUCGGAUAGAGGUCACCAAUCUUCCAAAAAGAAAGCAUGGUUAAUCGUCUUAUUCUUACAAAAUUUAUCAUCAAAAUAUUAUUUUAGAAUGAACCAAAUUAUUCUUCCAAAAUGGAUCAUUAACAUAUUCUUGUUUUUGUUCAUAUAUUUUACUUCAAGAAUGUGUCUAUUGUAAUUGUUUCUAAGACAUUUUAAUUUUCUGAUGUAAACUAGUUCAUAAAAUGUAAUUUUUUGACA